rnacentral:rRNA from 1 species
GGACGAAAGUCUGACGGAGCAACGCCGCGUGAACGAAGAAGGCCUUCGGGUCGUAAAGUUCUGUUGUUAGGGAAGAACAAGUACCAGAGUAACUGCUGGUACCUUGACGGUACCUAACCAGAAAGCCACGGCUAACUACGUGCCAGCAGCCGCGGUAAUACGUAGGUGGCAAGCGUUGUCCGGAAUUAUUGGGCGUAAAGCGCGCGCAGGUGGUUCCUUAAGUCUGAUGUGAAAGCCCACGGCUCAACCGUGGAGGGUCAUUGGAAACUGGGGAACUUGAGUGCAGAAGAGGAAAGUGGAAUUCCAAGUGUAGCGGUGAAAUGCGUAGAGAUUUGGAGGAACACCAGUGGCGAAGGCGACUUUCUGGUCUGUAACUGACACUGAGGCGCGAAAGCGUGGGGAGCAAACAGGAUUAGAUACCCUGGUAGUCCACGCCGUAAACGAUGAGUGCUAAGUGUUAGAGGGUUUCCGCCCUUUAGUGCUGCAGCUAACGCAUUAAGCACUCCGCCUGGGGAGUACGGCCGCAAGGCUGAAACUCAAAGGAAUUGACGGGGGCCCGCACAAGCGGUGGAGCAUGUGGUUUAAUUCNAAGCACCCAAAAAAACCCUU